CCGUGUGUUCUUUCUCAAAUAUGUAGAGCGGGGGCUUCUUGUUAUACUUAAAUGCACUAUGCUAUCAUGCAUGUCUAAGUCGCGGGCCUAUCUGAAGAGCAAUAAUAUAAAGCUUUUGAGCUUAGGCACAUGAAUCAAGCCCCCAGAAUCCGAUGGUCUACUGAGCCAGUUUUAAGUUGGCGAGGAAGGGUGGAGCAGUGAACCUUGCCACACAACGGCACCCCCUUCGCCUGAUGACCUUUUCCGAUCACGAUGACCUCCUGUCGCUGCUGAAGGUAUUUUGUUUCUUCUCUUUUCAUCUGCAGACUGCAGAGUAUCUUGUUUGUUCAAUUCUGAUAAAAAAAACUAGAUGUUCUAGUCAAAGCAGUACUGCAGUCAUGCAGUACUUGUUGCAGUAUUACGUUUAUUUGUUUUUGGAUGAGAUACUUUCAAAGUUGAUUUAUAGUGACAAUGCGAGAGUUGUAGAUAAUUUUCUGUACUUCCAGUGUACUUUAUUAUUAAUUCUUAGUAUAAGAGUAUCUAAGGGGCACAAUUGGCUUGAAUUCAUAUAGGCAGAGAUGUUUCUAUAAUUAAUUACAGUCAAAUCAUUUGCACAGAGAAAAAUACUUCAACAUUAGACAAUAUGAUUAGACAAUAUGCCAGGCGUCCUCCUUUCUAGCUUUUGGCUUUCCCUGUACUAGCUUUGCUCUUUGGGUCCUCAGCUUUUGAGACCUUGAUGCUUUUGAGAAUGUACGACAAACUUGGUUUCGUUAUAGCAAUCUUAGUCUAAACAUAGCACAUGUUUCUGGACAUAGGAUUGUUACAAUGAAUUAGAAUAAUGUCAUGUCCUUUGAAUUAUAUGAAUAAGUAAUGAACCGCUGCAAACUUAUAAUGAAAUUGAAAUCAGUGUGGUUUAUUGGUAGAUUAUUCCUUUUGUACACAGAGCAACGUGUAGUACUGUAUAUCAUUUGGAGUGUGUUCCUGCUGAUUCAUAUUACCCUGGAAAUUGCAUGUGAAGGAUCAAAAGAUGAAUACGUAGUUAUACUGUUAGAUAGCAGCUAACCAGCCAAUUAGAACAUCUAAGUUUUUUAACUGUAUCCACAAUUAAAUUUCAACUGUAUAUAUUUAAUCUCCCUUACAACUUAUCUAAUCAUUUCUUAGGAAUUGGAAACAGUACUGGAGGAAUUGUGAUCUAUGUCAAGGGUGAUGAUGUCUAUGGAAAUGAUUGUUGAGUGUUAUGAUACAUAUGGUGAUGAAGGGUGACGAAUCUAAUGUCUUUCGUCAAGACAUGCAACAAAGUGAAGUUAUGAAGUUCUGGUCAAUUUAGCUUAUGCAUAAUGCUUGGACCAUUAGAUCUUAGUUACUAUUUUAUUUUGCAUUUCAAACUUCCCAGAUAGAUCACGGUGAUCAAUGUAAUUUUGAUGCAACUCUUCUGAUAUUCUGAAAGGUGUGCUAAAUAUAAUAGUUUAU
rnacentral:lncRNA from 1 species